AGAUCGAACUGUAGAGUUUGAUCCUGGCUCAGAUUGAACGCUGGCGGCAUGCCUUACACAUGCAAGUCGAACGGCAGCACGGACUUCGGUCUGGUGGCGAGUGGCGAACGGGUGAGUAAUACAUCGGAACGUGCCUAGUAGUGGGGGAUAACUACUCGAAAGAGUGGCUAAUACCGCAUGAGAUCUACGGAUGAAAGCAGGGGAUCGCAAGACCUUGUGCUACUAGAGCGGCCGAUGGCAGAUUAGGUAGUUGGUGGGAUAAAAGCUUACCAAGCCAACGAUCUGUAGCUGGUCUGAGAGGACGAUCAGCCACACUGGGACUGAGACACGGCCCAGACUCCUACGGGAGGCAGCAGUGGGGAAUUUUGGACAAUGGGCGAAAGCCUGAUCCAGCAAUGCCGCGUGCAGGAUGAAGGCCUUCGGGUUGUAAACUGCUUUUGUACGGAACGAAAAGCUUCGGGUUAAUACCCUGGAGUCAUGACGGUACCGUAAGAAUAAGCACCGGCUAACUACGUGCCAGCAGCCGCGGUAAUACGUAGGGUGCAAGCGUUAAUCGGAAUUACUGGGCGUAAAGCGUGCGCAGGCGG
rnacentral:rRNA from 1 species